rnacentral:rRNA from 1 species
UGGGGAAUUUUGCGCAAUGGGCGAAAGCCUGACGCAGCAACGCCGCGUGAUCGAAGAAGCUCUGCGGAGUGUAAAGAUCUGUCACAGGGGAAGAACUAUAUCCUAUCUAACAAAUGGGAUAUUUGACGGUACCCUGUAAGAAAGCCCCGGCUAACUCCGUGCCAGCAGCCGCGGUAAUACGGGGGGGGCAAGCGUUGUCCGGAUUUAUUGGGCGUAAAGGGCUCGUAGGUGGAUUGAUCAGUCGAAAUUGAAAUCCCACGACUUAAUCGUGGAACUGGUUUUGAUACUGUCAGUCUUGAGUGGGAUAGAGGUAAGCGGAAUUCCUGGUGUAGCGGUGAAAUGCGUAGAUAUCAGGAGGAACACCGACGGCGAAGGCAGCUUACUAGGUCCAUACUGACACUGAGGAGCGAAAGCGUGGGUAGCAAACAGG